GAUGAACGCUGGCGGCGUGCCUAAUACAUGCAAGUCGAGCGAACGGACGAGAAGCUUGCUUUUCUGAUGUUAGCGGCGGAUGGGUGAGUAACACGUGGAUAACCUACCUAUAAGACUGGGAUAACUUCGGGAAACCGGAGCUAAUACCGGAUAAUAUUUUGAACCGCAUGGUUCAAAAGUGAAAGACGGUCUUGCUGUCACUUAUAGAUGGAUCCGCGCUGCAUUAGCUAGUUGGUAAGGUAACGGCUUACCAAGGCAACGAUGCAUAGCCGACCUGAGAGGGUGAUCGGCCACACUGGAACUGAGACACGGUCCAGACUCCUACGGGAGGCAGCAGUAGGGAAUCUUCCGCAAUGGGCGAAAGCCUGACGGAGCAACGCCGCGUGAGUGAUGAAGGUCUUCGGAUCGUAAAACUCUGUUAUUAGGGAAGAACAUAUGUGUAAGUAACUGUGCACAUCUUGACGGUACCUAAUCAGAAAGCCACGGCUAACUACGUG
rnacentral:rRNA from 1 species